ACAAAAACUUGCUGCUCGUCUUCUCCUUGUUUUUUGUCUCUCACUCUUUAACAAACGAUACACUUAACCCCGGUGACAUCUUCAAUUCCACUCAUCGCCUUAUUUCCAGAAACGGGCUCUUCACAUUAGGAUUCUCCGGCCGCUACUUGGUCAUAAAUUACACUGACCAAAGUAACUCACCAAAACACCCUGUCUGGUUAGCUAACAGAAACACACCUAUCCUGGAAAAUACAGGACUUCUCACCAUUGAUAAUGGAACUGGGA
rnacentral:misc_RNA from 1 species